rnacentral:rRNA from 1 species
AGUCGAACGGCAGCACGGGAGCAAUCCUGGUGGCGAGUGGCGAACGGGUGAGUAAUAUAUCGGAACGUGCCCAGUCGUGGGGGAUAACGCAGCGAAAGCUGUGCUAAUACCGCAUACGAUCUAAGGAUGAAAGCGGGGGAUCGCAAGACCUCGCGCGAUUGGAGCGGCCGAUAUCAGAUUAGGUUGUUGGUGGGGUAAAAGCCCACCAAGCCGACGAUCUGUAGCUGGUCUGAGAGGACGACCAGCCACACUGGAACUGAGACACGGUCCAGACUCCUACGGGAGGCAGCAGUGGGGAAUUUUGGACAAUGGGCGCAAGCCUGAUCCAGCAAUGCCGCGUGCAGGAUGAAGGCCUUCGGGUUGUAAACUGCUUUUGUACGGAACGAAACGGUCUACUAUAAUACAGUGGGCUAAUGACGGUACCGUAAGAAUAAGCACCGGCUAACUACGUGCCAGCAGCCGCGGUAAUACGUAGGGUGCGAGCGUUAAUCGGAAUUACUGGGCGUAAAGCGUGCGCAGGCGGUUAUAUAAGACAGAUGUGAAAUCCCCGGGCUCAACCUGGGACCUGCAUUUGUGACUGUAUAGCUAGAGUGCGGCAGAGGGGGAUGGAAUUCCGCGUGUAGCAGUGAAAUGCGUAGAUAUGCGGAGGAACACCGAUGGCGAAAGCAAUCCCCUGGGCCUGCACUGACGCUCAUGCACGAAAGCGUGGGGAGCAAACAGGAUUAGAUACCCUGGUAGUCCACGCCCUAAACGAUGUCAACUGGUUGUUGGGUCUUCACUGACUCAGUAACGAAGCUACGCGUGAAGUUGACCGCCUGGGGAGUACG